rnacentral:rRNA from 1 species
GCCUCUCGAAAGAGAGAUUAACACCGCAUAACAUUAUUGAGUGGCAUCAUUUAAUAAUCAAAUAUUUAUAGGACAAAGAUGGGCAUGCGUGUCAUUAGUUAGUUGGCGGGGUAACGGCCCACCAAGACUACGAUGACUAGGGGAUCUGAGAGGAUGACCCCCCACACUGGUACUGAGACACGGACCAGACUCCUACGGGAGGCAGCAGUAAGGAAUAUUGGUCAAUGGGCGCAAGCCUGAACCAGCCAUGCCGCGUGCAGGAAGACGGCCCUAUGGGUUGUAAACUGCUUUUAUACGGGAAUAAUUCCCCGAUCGUGAUCGGGGUUGAAUGUACUGUAAGAAUAAGGAUCGGCUAACUCCGUGCCAGCAGCCGCGGUAAUACGGAGGAUCCGAGCGUUAUCCGGAUUUAUUGGGUUUAAAGGGUGCGUAGGCGGCUUUUUAAGUCAGGGGUGAAAGACGGUGGCUCAACCAUCGCGGUGCCUUUGAUACUGAAGAGCUUGAUUACACUAGAGGUAGGCGGAAUGUGACAAGUAGCGGUGAAAUGCAUAGAUAUGUCACAGAACACCGAUUGCGAAAG